rnacentral:rRNA from 1 species
UACGAAGGGUGCUAGCGUUGUUCGGAAUCACUGGGCGUAAAGCGCGCGUAGGCGGCUAUUCAAGUCAGGGGUGAAAUCCUGGGCUCAACCCCAGAACUGCCUCUGAAACUGUAUAGCUUGAGUGUCGGAGGGGAUAGCGGAAUUCCUAAUGUAGAGGUGAAAUUCGUAGAUAUUAGGAGGAACACCGGUGGCGAAGGCGGCUAUCUGGACGACAACUGACGCUGAGGCGCGAAAGCGUGGGGAUCAAACAGG